rnacentral:rRNA from 1 species
UGGCUCAGGAUGAACGCUGGCGGUAUGCUUAACACAUGCAAGUCGAACGGUGUUUUCGGACACAGUGGCGGACGGGUGAGUAACGCGUGAGAAUCUGGCUCUAGGUCGGGGACAACCACUGGAAACGGUGGCUAAUACCGGAUGUGCCGAGAGGUGAAAGGCUUGCUGCCUAGAGAUGAGCUCGCGUCUGAUUAGCUAGUAGGUGGGGUAAGAGCCUACCUAGGCGACGAUCAGUAGCUGGUCUGAGAGGAUGAUCAGCCACACUGGGACUGAGACACGGCCCAGACUCUACGGGAGGCAGCAGUGGGGAAUUUUCCGCAAUGGGCGAAAGCCUGACGGAGCAAUACCGCGUGAGGGAGGAAGGCUCUUGGGUUGUAAACCUCUUUUCUCAGGGAAGAACACAAUGACGGUACCUGAGGAAUCAGCAUCGGCUAACUCCGUGCCAGCAGCCGCGGUAAUACGGAGGAUGCAAGCGUUAUCCGGAAUGAUUGGGCGUAAAGCGUCCGCAGGUGGCGAUGUAAGUCUGCUGUUAAAGAGUGAGGCUCAACCUCAUAAGAGCAGUGGAAACUACAUAGCUAGAGUGCGUUCGGGGCAGAGGGAAUUCCUGGUGUAGCGGUGAAAUGCGUAGAUAUCAGGAAGAACACCGGUGGCGAAAGCGCUCUGCUAGGCCGCAACUGACACUGAGGGACGAAAGCUAGGGGAGCGAAUGGGAUUAGAUACCCCAGUAGUCCUAGCCGUAAACGAUGGAUACUAGGCGUGGCUUGUAUCGACCCGAGCCGUGCCGUAGCUAACGCGUUAAGUAUCCCGCCUGGGGAGUACGCACGCAAGUGUGAAACUCAAAGGAAUUGACGGGGGCCCGCACAAGCGGUGGAGUAUGUGGUUUAAUUCGAUGCAACGCGAAGAACCUUACCAAGACUUGACAUGUCGCGAAUCUGAGUGAAAGCUUAGAGUGCCUUCGGGAGCGCGAACACAGGUGGUGCAUGGCUGUCGUCAGCUCGUGUCGUGAGAUGUUGGGUUAAGUCCCGCAACGAGCGCAACCCUCGUUUUUAGUUGCCAGCAUUAAGUUGGGCACUCUAGAGAGACUGCCGGUGACAAACCGGAGGAAGGUGGGGAUGACGUCAAGUCAGCAUGCCCCUUACGUCUUGGGCUACACACGUACUACAAUGCUACGGACAGAGGGCAGCAAGCCGGCGACGGCAAGCAAAUCCCGAAAACCGUAGCUCAGUUCAGAUCGCAGGCUGCAACUCGCCUGCGUGAAGGAGGAAUCGCUAGUAAUUGCAGGUCAGCAUACUGCAGUGAAUUCGUUCCCGGGCCUUGUACACACACCGCCCGUCACACCAUGGAAGCUGGCAACGCCCGAAGUCAUUACUCCAACGAUUCGUCGAGGAGGAUGCCUAAGGCAGUGCUGGUGACUGGGGUGAAGUCGUAACAAGGUAGCCGUACCGGAAGGUGUGGCUGGAUCACCUCCUUUAUAGGGAGACCGAAUCCACUCAGAUAUCGAAAGCGAGUGUGCAAAUAGAUAAUGAGAUGGUCCUUCCUAGGUCGGUCGCAGAACUUGAGGUGAGCUUUCAAACUAUAUUUGGUUCGAUUUGGGCUAUUAGCUCAGGUGGUUAGAGCGCACCCCUGAUAAGGUGAGGUCCCUGGUUCGAGUCCAGGAUGGCCCACCUGAAGAGAGUUAAGAGUUUGAAGUUAGGAGUU